AAGUCGUAACAAGGUUUCCGUAGGUGAACCUGCGGAAGGAUCAUUAUCGUGGGGCUUCGGCCCUCUCGAGAUAGAACCCUUGCCUUUUUGAGUACCUUUCGUUUCCUCGGCGGGCUCGCCUGCCAAUGGGGACCCCAAUAAACCCUUUUGUAAUACCUGUAAUCGUCUGACAAAAUAAACAAAAAUUAAAACUUUCAACAACGGAUCUCUUGGUUCUG
rnacentral:misc_RNA from 1 species